rnacentral:rRNA from 1 species
GACGAACGCUGGCGGCGUGCCUAAUACAUGCAAGUUGAGCGCUGAAGGUUGGUACUUGUACCAACUGGAUGAGCAGCGAACGGGUGAGUAACGCGUGGGGAAUCUGCCUUUGAGCGGGGGACAACAUUGGGAAACGAAUGCUAAUACCGCAUAAAAACUUUAAACACAAGUUUUAAGUUUGAAAGAUGCAAUUGCAUCACUCAAAGAUGAUCCCGCGUUGUAUUAGCUAGUUGGUGAGGUAAAGGCUCACCAAGGCGAUGAUACAUAGCCGACCUGAGAGGGUGAUCGGCCACAUUGAGACUGAGACACGGCCCAAACUCCUACGGGAGGCAGCAGUAGGGAAUCUUCGGCAAUGGACGAAAGUCUGACCGAGCAACGCCGCGUGAGUGAAGAAGGUUUUCGGAUCGUAAAACUCUGUUGGUAGAGAAGAACGUUGGUGAGAGUGGAAAGCUCAUCAAGUGACGGUAACUACCCAGAAAGGGACGGCUAACUACGUG